rnacentral:rRNA from 1 species
UACGUAGGGGGCAAGCGUUGUCCGGAUUUAUUGGGCGUAAAGAGCGUGUAGGCGGCCAAGUAAGUCUGCUGUGAAAACUCGAGGCUUAACCUCGAGCUGCCGGCGGAAACUAUUUGGCUAGAGUCCGGAAGAGGAGAAUGGAAUUCCCGGUGUAGCGGUGAAAUGCGCAGAUAUCGGGAAGAACACCCGUGGCGAAGGCGGUUCUCUGGGACGGUACUGACGCUGAGACGCGAAAGCGUGGGGAGCGAACAGG